rnacentral:misc_RNA from 1 species
ACACAUUCCCAUUGUCCUUGUUACAAUUAAUGCAAUGGUAGAUUUCAAGAAUAAGCAAAGCAAACAGAUAGCAAAAUACACAAAUAAGACCACUCUAGAUUUUGUUAAAACCACUAUUUAUUGGGAGGUGGCAAGGUGCCAUAGAAAAUGGAGAAUUUUCUCUAAGCUGGCAUCCAGAAAAGCUAAGUUACAAAUGUACAUCUACUAGUGUGAACAAUUUAUUAUGAGCAAUUGAGCCUGCAAACAAUAUAUAUACACACACUAAAAAACAACAUAAGCAAUGAAAAUCAUCCACUUUUCUUGAUGAAUCACUGACAUCAAGCAUUAGUCAAUAACUCACAAAUACAAGAAUUGACCCCACUCCAAUUUCAUUAAACAGACAAAUCAAUUUCCUCGGAUGAAAAAGACUAUCAAAGUAUUAAUGCAAAGAAAUAAGGAAGUUCACAAGUCAAAAGAAAGAAAAAAGGAGAGAGAGAGA